CUCGGGGAGGAGGGGUCCCUCAGCCCAGAUUUCGAGGGGGCACAGGCCAGGCCAAGGGACUCCACCGGUGCACA
rnacentral:pre_miRNA from 1 species